UACGAAGGGGGCUAGCGCUGCUCGGAAUCACUGGGCGUAAAGGGUGCGUAGGCGGGUUUUUAAGUCAGGGGUGAAAUCCUGGAGCUCAACUCCAGAACUGCCUUUGAUACUGAAGAUCUUGAGUCCGGGAGAGGUGAGUGGAACUGCGAGUGUAGAGGUGAAAUUCGUAGAUAUUCGCAAGAACACCAGUGGCGAAGGCGGCUCACUGGCCCGGUACUGACGCUGAGGCACGAAAGCGUGGGGAGCAAACAGG
rnacentral:rRNA from 1 species